GAUGAACGCUGGCGGCGUGCCUAACACAUGCAAGUCGAACGGAGAUUACGGACGGAAGUUUUCGGAUGGAAGACUGUAAUUCUUAGUGGCGGACGGGCGAGUAACGCGUGGGCAACCUGCCCUAUACAGGGGGAUAGCAGCUGGAAACGGCUGGUAAGACCGCAUAAGUCGGUUAAAUCGCAUGAUUUGAUCGGGAAAUGAGCAAUCAGGUAUAGGAUGGGCCCGCGUCCGAUUAGCCAGUUGGCAGGGUAAAAGCCUACCAAAGCGACGAUCGGUAGCCGGACUGAGAGGUCGGACGGCCACAUUGGGACUGAGACACGGCCCAAACUCCUACGGGAGGCAGCAGUGGGGGAUAUUGCACAAUGGAGGAAACUCUGAUGCAGCGACGCCGCGUGAGUGAAGAAGUAUUUCGGUAUGUAAAGCUCUAUCAGCAGGGAAGAUGAUGACGGUACCUGACUAAGAAGCCCCGGCUAACUACGUG
rnacentral:rRNA from 1 species